GGCGCACGGGUGAGUAACACGUAAGUAAUCUGCCUUCGAGUGGGGAAUAACCCGGGGAAACCCGAGCUAAUACCGCAUAAUGCAGCGGCACCUGAUGGUGACAGUUGUUAAAGGAGCAAUCCGCUUGAAGAGGAGCUUGCGGCAGAUUAGCUUGUUGGUAAGGUAACGGCUUACCAAGGCUACGAUCUGUAUCCGGUCUAAGAGGACGGUCGGACACACUGACACUGAAUAACGGGUCAGACUCCUACGGGAGGCAGCAGUCGGGAAUUUUGGGCAAUGGGGGAAACCCUGACCCAGCAACGCCGCGUGAAGGAUGAAGUAUUUCGGUAUGUAAACUUCGAAAGAAUAGGAAGAAUUAAUGACGGUACUAUUUAUAAGGUCCGGCUAACUACGUGCCAGCAGCCGCGGUAAUACGUAGGGACCAAGCGUUGUUCGGAUUUACUGGGCGUAAAGGGCGCGUAGGCGGCGCGGUAAGUCACUUGUGAAAUCUCUGAGCUUAACUCAGAACGGCCAAGUGAUACUGCAGUGCUAGAGUGUGGAAGGGGCAAUCGGAAUUCUUGGUGUAGCGGUGAAAUGCGUAGAUAUCAAGAGGAACACCUGAGGUGAAGACGGGUUGCUGGGCCAACACUGACGCUGAUGCGCGAAAGCCAGGGGAGCAAACGGGAUUAGAUACCCCGGUAGUCC
rnacentral:rRNA from 1 species